CGGACAGAUGGGAGCUUGCUCCCUGAUGUCAGCGGCGGACGGGUGAGUAACACGUGGGUAACCUGCCUGUAAGACUGGGAUAACUCCGGGAAACCGGGGCUAAUACCGGAUGCUUGAUUGAACCGCAUGGUUCAAUUAUAAAAGGUGGCUUUUAGCUACCACUUACAGAUGGACCCGCGGCGCAUUAGCUAGUUGGUGAGGUAACGGCUCACCAAGGCAACGAUGCGUAGCCGACCUGAGAGGGUGAUCGGCCACACUGGGACUGAGACACGGCCCAGACUCCUACGGGAGGCAGCAGUAGGGAAUCUUCCGCAAUGGACGAAAGUCUGACGGAGCAACGCCGCGUGAGUGAUGAAGGUUUUCGGAUCGUAAAACUCUGUUGUUAGGGAAGAACAAGUACCGUUCGAAUAGGGCGGUACCUUGACGGUACCUAACCAGAAAGCCACGGCUAACUACGUGCCAGCAGCCGCGGUAAUACGUAGGUGGCAAGCGUUGUCCGGAAUUAUUGGGCGUAAAGCGCGCGCAGGCGGUUUCUUAAGUCUGAUGUGAAAGCCCCCGGCUCAACCGGGGAGGGUCAUUGGAAACUGGGGAACUUGAGUGCAGAAGAGGAGAGUGGAAUUCCACGUGUAGCGGUGAAAUGCGUAGAGAUGUGGAGGAACACCAGUGGCGAAGGCGACUCUCUGGUCUGUAACUGACGCUGAGGCGCGAAAGCGUGGGGAGCGAACAGGAUUAGAUACCCUG
rnacentral:rRNA from 1 species